rnacentral:rRNA from 1 species
UACAGAGGGGGCAAGCGUUAUUCGGAAUUAUUGGGCGUAAAGGGCGCGUAGGCGGCUUGGCAAGUGGAGGGUGAAAUCCCUCGGCUUAACCGAGGAACUGCCGUCCAAACUGCUUCGCUUGAGACCGGGAGAGGUGAGUGGAAUUCCCAGUGUAGCGGUGAAAUGCGUAGAUAUUGGGAGGAACACCAGUGGCGAAGGCGGCUCACUGGACCGGUACUGACGCUGAAGCGCGAAAGCGUGGGGAGCAAACGGG